rnacentral:rRNA from 5 species
ACGGGUGAGGAAUACAUCGGAAUCUACCUUUUCGUGGGGGAUAACGUAGGGAAACUUACGCUAAUACCGCAUAAGACCUUCGGGUGAAAGUGGGGGACCUUCGGGCCUCACGCGGAUAGAUGAGCCGAUGUCGGAUUAGCUUGUUGGCGGGGUAAAAGCCCACCAAGGCGACGAUCCGUAGCUGGUCUGAGAGGAUGAUCAGCCACACUGGAACUGAGACACGGUCCAGACUCCUACGGGAGGCAGCAGUGGGGAAUAUUGGACAAUGGGCGCAAGCCUGAUCCAGCCAUACCGCGUGGGUGAAGAAGGCCUUCGGGUUGUAAAGCCCUUUUGUUGGGAAAGAAAUCCUGCCGGUUAAUAACCAGUAGGGAUGACGGUACCCAAAGAAUAAGCACCGGCUAACUUCGUGCCAGCAGCCGCGGUAAUACGAAGGGUGCAAGCGUUACUCGGAAUUACUGGGCGUAAAGCGUGCGUAGGUGGUUGUUUAAGUCUGCUGUGAAAGCCCUGGGCUCAACCUGGGAAUUGCAGUGGAUACUGGGCGACUAGAGUGUGGUAGAGGAUAGUGGAAUUUCCGGUGUA